GACGAACGCUGGCGGCGUGCCUAAUACAUGCAAGUAGAACGCUGAAGGAGGAGCUUGCUUCUCUGGAUGAGUUGCGAACGGGUGAGUAACGCGUAGGUAACCUGCCUGGUAGCGGGGGAUAACUAUUGGAAACGAUAGCUAAUACCGCAUAAUAGUAGAUGUCGCAUGACAUUUGCUUAAAAGUUGCAAUUGCAUCACUACCAGAUGGACCUGCGUUGUAUUAGCUAGUUGGUGAGGUAACGGCUCACCAAGGCAACGAUACAUAGCCGACCUGAGAGGGUGAUCGGCCACACUUGGACUGAGACACGGCCCAGAAUUCUACGGGGGGCAGCAGUAGGGAAUCUUCGGCCAUGGGCGGAAGUCUGACCGAACAACGCCGCGGGAGGGGAGAAGGUUUUCGGGUCGUAAAGCUCUGUUUUAAGAGAAGAACGAGUGUGAGGGUGGAAAGUUCACACUGUGACGGUAUCUUACCAGAAAGCGACGGCUAACUACGUG
rnacentral:rRNA from 1 species